AUGGCGGAGGCUGUGCUCCUUGCUCUUGGAAAGACUGGGAAGGUUUUAACUGAUGAGGUUGCCAAGGCCUUGGUGGCCAAGGUGUUAGCAAAAGUUGGUAACCUGAUUGAUCUGAAUGACAAGAUUGGGCAAAUAGAGGUUCAGUUAAAAGCCAUGAACAACAUCAUACGGGAGAUUGGCACAAUGUACCUCACCAAUGAGUUCAUGAAGGGUUGGAUUGGGGAGGUGAGGAAGUUGGCCUACCGCGUUGAGGAUGUGCUGGACAAAUACUCAUAUCACUCUCUUCAAAUGGCAGAAGAAGGUUUUCUGAAGAAGCGUUUCCUCAAAGGAUCACAUUAUCUCCUGGUUUUCAGUCAAAUUACCGAUGAGGUAGUCAAGAUAGAGAAGGACAUCAAGCAAGUUAUCGAGCUCAAGGGGUGGUCGCAACCACCCCAGUAUGUUCAUGACCCGCUUAGUGAGGUGGAAAGACAACGGUCCCAAGAUCGCUUCCCUGAACUUGUGAAAGAUGAAGAUCUGAUUGGAAUUGAAGAUAACAGGAGAAUGCUGACUGAAUGGCUGUACUCGGAUGAGAUGGACGGUAGGGUGAUAACAGUGUCAGGUAUGGGUGGCUUGGGAAAAACAACCCUCACCACAAAUGUGUAUGAACGUGAAAAGGCCAACUUCCAAGCUCAUGCAUGGGUGGUUGUGUCUCAGACCUACACCGUUGAAGCUCUGUUGAGGAAGUUACUCAGGAAGGUUGGUUACACUGAACAACAAGCAUCAUCUAACAUUGACCGGAUGGAUGUGUAUGACUUGAAGGAAGAAAUAAAGCGAACACUUCAAGAUAGGAAAUGUUUGUUCGUCUUGGAUGAUGUCUGGAACCAGGACGUGUACUAUCAACUGCGAGAUGCACUCCAGAAUUCUCGUGAAAGUCGCAUCAUCAUCACAACGCGGAAUAACCAUGUUGCUGCUGUUGCUCACUCGUCACGUCGUAUCGAUCUCAAGCCUUUGGGGGACAAUGACGCAUUUGAACUCUUCUGCAGAAGGGUCUUUUAUAGCAAAAAGGACCAGCAGUGUCCUGAUUAUCUUUUGGAAACUGCUAAAUCUAUAGUUCAUAGGUGUCGGGGACUGCCACUAGCAAUUUUAUCGAUUGGCGGCCUCUUGUCUUCGAGGCCACAGACACAAUAUGAUUGGGAGCAAUUAUACAAUCAGCUUCCAACUGAGCUGUCGAACAAUGAUCAUGUCAAGGCAGUUUUGAAUCUGAGCUACCAUGACCUAUCUGGAGACCUCAGAAACUGCUUCUUGUACUGUAGCUUAUUCUCGGAAGACUACCCAAUGUCACGUGAGACCCUUGCGAGGCUCUGGGUUGCAGAAGGCUUUGUGUUGAGAAAAGGAAAUAGCACCCCAGAGGAGGUGGCCGAGGAAAACCUAAGGAAACUGAUCCACCGCAAUAUGCUUGAAGUCAUGGAUAGAGAUGAACUGGGAAGGGUGAGCACCUGUACGAUGCAUGAUAUUGUGCGAGAGCUGGCUCUUUGUAUUGCAAGGGAGUAG
rnacentral:rRNA from 1 species